CUCUUACUCAUUACUGUGUGAUUGAAGACAGUGUGUUGGAGUUAAUGGUGUAACUAACCUUCAGCUUUAUUCACGCUGUUAUUGACACAAGCCAAUCGCCUCGGUUUCAUUGCAGGUACGUGUGCCAAUGCUGAUUUGUAGAUGGUCAAGCGGAGCCUUGAUUUCUGCCAGCGCUGCAUUGGAAGGCUGUCAGGACACGAGUGGGCGGCCAAAGCAAAGGUCCAAUAAACCAUUAACAUGUGCUGGUCAGUCAAAUCACAGAGCGGGGGAAAUAUAUGGAAAUGAAUGCGUCUGAAUGGCCAUCAAUCACUGCAGUGCUGCAAACGCUGCUCGCGCUCAUGCUGUUUCUACACGUCUGGAUGGUCGGUGGUGCUGUAAUUCAAGAGUUUCAGGAGAUGAAGUUCAGUCAUCUUCAAGUGUGUGUGUGUGUGUGCAGAUCUUCUACUGUCCACAGGAAUCCACACGGCAGAACGACACAUUUCACAUGCGCCUGGAGAGAUGAGGCAAGCGGGAAGUGUGGGACUGUGUUUCUCAAUGGUUUUCUUAAUUCACUUGAUGUGUAGAAGCGACUUCAGGGAAGAUGUUCAUAGGAGGAUUUCUUUAAGAGUUGGGUUGUAAAAUCAGACUCCUGUUUUAAAAAAGACUAGUGAUGCAUUCGAUAUUGCAUACUUCUGUACUAUAUUAUACAAGCAAAGCAGCAUGAGAGCUGAGAAGUAUGUCCAAAUUCAUAGAAUUCGUAACAAAAAUUCAUUCAUUCAUUUACUUUACGGCUUAGUCCCUUUAUUAAUCAAGAGUUGCCACAGCGGAAUGAACUGCCAACUUAUCCAGCAUAUACAGCGGAUGCCCUUCUAGCUGCAACCCAUCACUAGGAAACAUCCACACACACUCAUUCACACGCAACCACUACGGAAAAUUCUUGCUGUGAGGCAAACAUGCUACCCACAGGACCACCGCAUCGCCAUAAAAAAAACGUAUGCCAAAAAAAUUGUUAUUUUAACUUCUUUUCUAUUCAGUCACUUUAAGUAUAAUAAUGUGAGCUACCAAAACACACAUUACAAUAUCAGUGGCGUAGCGCAAAAUGCAGAGGCCCCCCUGCAGGGAUCGCUGACGGGGCCCCCUGAUGAAGAGAGGGGGGGGGGGGAUACGUCAUACGUCAAUUUGCAUAUCACUGACGUCAUCACGUUUUACUGUUUCUGUUUGUUUAACAGCCUAUGGUUAAUAAAGGGGUAUUUAUAAUUGCACUACACUUUAUAUAAGCAUGUUUAUUUACCUAAAUUUAUUGCUGUUUGAAUACAGUAUGUCAUUAUAGAUGUGUAGUGAAUGUGCAGUAAUCUCUCAUAUGUAAUAAACUCAGACAAGUUCAGAAACUGUCACUAAAAUAUCUGUGAUUGUGAACAAGAAAAGAAUAAACGGUCCAAUUAAAUUGUUAAAAUAAAGUAGAAGUAGAUCGGUUUGACUGUACAAGGGGAAUACCUUCACACUGCCUGUGCUAAAUCAUUUGUCGUCGGUACGCAGAGGGGUGAUCUGCUCUCGGGCUGCAGGUGGGAGAGGCUGCUGUAGAGCAGAGGUUCUCAAAGUGGGGGUCGGGACCCCCCGAGGGGUCGCAGGACAAUGAAGGGGGGGUCGCCUGGUGAUUUUCAAAAAUCAAUUAAUUUUUAUUAAACCUUAAGACUUACUGUAUUUUAUCAAUAACCUACUGAUGAGAAAAAAUAGUCGUUUAUAGUUACUAUUAACUAUAUAGUUACUAGUUCUAUUGGAUUGCGACUUCUCGGGUAAUUACAUUAUACUAAAGACACAGCA
ensembl:lincRNA